rnacentral:rRNA from 1 species
UACAGAGGGUGCGAGCGUUGUCCGGAAUCACUGGGCGUAAAGGGCGCGUAGGCGGCCUGCUAAGUCGAACGUGAAAUCCCUGGGCUCAACCCAGGAACUGCGUCCGAUACUGGUUGGCUUGAAUCCGGGAGAGGGACGUGGAAUUCCAGGUGGAGCGGUGAAAUGCGUAGAUAUCUGGAGGAACACCGGUGGCGAAGGCGACGUCCUGGACCGGCAUUGACGCUGAGGCGCGAAAGCCAGGGGAGCAAACGGG